AGGGUUAUAGUUUAUACAGAACAACUAAUUUGCAUUUAGACGGAACUAUGUUACCCCUU
rnacentral:tRNA from 1 species